UUCCCUUUUGGCCUGUUGUAU
rnacentral:piRNA from 1 species